UGCGAGGUGGAGCAGUCUGGUAGCUCGUCGGGCUCAUAACCCGAAGGUCACAGGUUCAAAUCCUGUCCUCGCUACCA
rnacentral:tRNA from 5 species